GACGAACGCUGGCGGCGUGCCUAAUACAUGCAAGUAGAACGCUGAAGAGAGGAGCUUGCUCUUCUUGGAUGAGUUGCGAACGGGUGAGUAACGCGUAGGUAACCUGCCUUGUAGCGGGGGAUAACUAUUGGAAACGAUAGCUAAUACCGCAUAACAAUGGCUGACACAUGUCAUUUAUUUGAAAGGGGCAAUUGCUCCACUACAAGAUGGACCUGCGUUGUAUUAGCUAGUAGGUGAGGUAAUGGCUCACCUAGGCGACGAUACAUAGCCGACCUGAGAGGGUGAUCGGCCACACUGGGACUGAGACACGGCCCAGACUCCGACGGGAGGCAGCAGUAGGGAAUCUUCGGCAAUGGGGGCAACACUGACCGAGCAACGCCGCGUGAGUGAAGAAGGUUUUCGGAUCGUAAAGCUCUGUUGUAAGUCAAGAACGGGUGUGAGAGUGGAAAGUUCACACUGUGACGGUAGCUGACCAGAAAGGGACGGCUAACUACGUG
rnacentral:rRNA from 1 species